UACGUAGGUGGCAAGCGUUGUCCGGAUUUAUUGGGUUUAAAGGGUGCGUAGGCGGCCUUAUAAGUCAGUGCUGAAAUAUCCCGGCUUAACCGGGAGGGUGGCAUUGAUACUGUAGGGCUUGAGUGUAGUCGAGGUAGGCGGAAUUGACGGUGUAGCGGUGAAAUGCUUAGAUAUCGUCAAGAACACCAAUAGUGUAGACAGCUUACUAGGCUACAACUGACGCUGAGGCACGAAAGUGUGGGGAUCAAACAGG
rnacentral:rRNA from 1 species